rnacentral:pre_miRNA from 1 species
GUUAUACUCCCUCUGUCCGGAAAUACUUGUCGGAGAAAUGCAUAAAAAUGGAUGUAUAUAGAACUAAAAUACGUCUAGAUCCAUCCAUUCAUCCGACAAGUAUUUCAGGACGGAGGGAGUACAUC